AUUAGUAUUUAGCGACAGUUAUUUAAAACUGCCGCUAAAAAUUAGAUUUCCUGCCGCAUCCCGCUACCCGCUCCUCUCUUCUCUGAUUUAUUUGUCUUCCUCCUCUCCCCUCCCCCUCUUUCUCUCUCUCUUCUUACCAUCAGACCUGUGCCCACACUCUUUUCUCACUUCUCUCUCGGUCUGCCCACACCACCGAACGGCAUCCAACCAGCGAUCAGCAAUGACAUCUAGUAGGGGAGGAUUUGGGAGAACCUCUACGUCUUUGAUCCCUUGAAGCUAUUCGUUCGCAUAUCCUUCGGAUCUUUGCAAGCCAACAAACCCAUUGUUUCAGUGCAAUGCAACAAAUGCUGGUGCAGCGACCACUUGGCCCUUGCCCCAGCAAUGAAGUAGGUGAACUAAUUGGGAACCACAGAAAACUCCAAGUUGUGUACCAUAUGAUACUAGAGACAAAUUCCAAGCACAUGAAGUUGAGUAGUGAGAUGGAAAAGAAGGCAGUGAAGAAACUUCCCGGUGCUUAAACAAUUAAGAGAAGGAAGGAUGGCAAGUUGAAGGCCUUUCUACUUCAAAUUUGUAUUGCCAACAGAGUGAUGUUGAAGAAACAUUCUUCAAGUCAAGUUCUGUCUUCAAGGAGUAGGAGGCUAUGGUGGAAGUUGUUCCUCUGGAGCCACAGAAACCUUCACAAACCAUCCAAUGUAAAA